ensembl:lncRNA
CGCAGACAGGACUGUGGCCCUGACAAUACUAUGAGCUGGCUGGGAAGAGGCUUGCUGCUGGCUUCUCUGCUCUUGGCUCGCUGGCCUCGGGAUGGAGAUUUGGGGGAACAUUCGUAGCAGCGGCUGAAGCCAUUUAUUUCGAGGAUCCUCCCUGUUUCUCUCCUACUCAGCAUUGACUGCCAGCUGACGUUUUUUCCUUGAAAGAACGGAAAGAUUCUUUCGGAAGCUCCAAGACCGAGUAAGUCUGCAGGUGUGCUCCCGGCUAACUUCUCUUUUGGGCACGAAGUGUUUUGACUUGUAUUUGAUGUUGAGGACAUUUUGUGAGCACACAGUAUCAUUUGGGCAUUUUGCCAACUGGUUGUGAGGUGUGUCUACUAGGGAGGACCAUUUGUAAACACAGAGAGACACUGGGGCCUUUUGUCAACUGGUUGUGAUGUGUGCCUACCAUGGAGGGCCAUUUGUGAGCACGGAGAGGCAUUGGGACGUUUUGCCAACUGGUUGUGAUGUGUGUUUGAUGUUGAGGACCCUUUGGGUGGGGAAGUAUUGAUUUGGGACUCUGUCCUCGGUCAUCCUCUUGGUAAAUCUGGACAGUCUAUCUUCUGUGUGAGUGUAUAUUCCAUUUGUGUGGCGGAUUCUUUACCACUGAGCCAUUUGGGAAGCUCUAAGUAUUGAAAAUCACACUGGACCACCCUCUCUGAUGAGUGGAAUCACAGUUCCACUACCAGGGAUGGAACCCCUGCCCCUGCACUGGAAUGCGCCAGAUCCUGACUCCUGGACUUCUAGAGAGGUUCUCAUGCUACACAUCAGAAACUAACAAUAUUAUAAAGCAACAAUACGCCAAUAAAAUUUAGUUUUAAAAACUCCGUGCAAGAAAAUUGAGGUAGAAUUAUUGUAAUAAUGCAG